UCCUGGUAACAAUAUUCAUCUUUUCUGAUGAUCUCCUUUCUGUUAUUACACAGGGUGACUUGCCAUUACUUUCUACCUCCUGCAUUUCAAAAUGUGGUAUGCAUGAUCAGAUGUGGCUCUGACAGUGUGACAAGUGCCUUUGCCACAAUUACUUCAGUGUUUUCAUCACCCACAAGGAAGCAGGAGCUCAAGACAUCAUUGUUAGCGAAGACAAGGCAGACCUUGAACCAGUUCUGCAGAAAUGGGGAAAUCUGACAGGAAUUUCUGCUAUGAAGGAAAUCUACCCAGUUGUGUGCUGUGCUGCUUAUCCAUGUGGGAGCCUGGCCUUGUCUGAUGGAUUGUGACUCCCUGGAAGCUGCAGUCAGGAAACUCAUUAGGGUAGACUCCUCAAGUACUCAGCUCAGUCCGCAGCCAGACACACCAGACCUGAAGGCUCCCAAUUCACUUUCCUGUUGGCUGUGUCCAACAUCUCAAAGUUGUUGUAUGAAUUGCAUUCUUCUCUGGUAUACAGUCUGAGUUGCAUCAUUUUUAAAGGAUGGGUAACUUAUGAUUUUAACAUCAAUAGUCAACUGCUGGAGAGAAUGUUGUGAUCCUCACCUGGCUUCUUGUCUAGCCUGAGCUGGCACACUGCACCAUGUGGUGUCUGCAUUUAGCCCACAGCUCCAUUUAAGAGAAGUGUUUUUGUCACCAAAGCACAAGAGAGGGCUUUGGGAAAGAAAGAGGACGGGGG
rnacentral:lncRNA from 1 species